GACAGAGGCCUCGAGCGUUGUCCGGAAUCACUGGGCGUAAAGGGCGCGUAGGCGGCGAGGAUAGUCAACGGUGAAAGCUUGGGGCUCAACCCCGAGUCGGCCGUCGAUACUUCCUUGCUUGAGCACUGUAGAGGCAGAUGGAAUUCCGGGUGUAGCGGUGGAAUGCGUAGAGAUCCGGAAGAACACCGGAGGCGAAGGCGGCUUGCUGGGCUUGGUCUGACGCUGAGGCGCGAAAGCGUGGGGAGCGAACAGG
rnacentral:rRNA from 1 species